UUCCAGACUCCUACGGGAGGCAGCAGUGGGGAAUAUUGCACAAUGGGGGGAACCCUGAUGCAGCGACGCCGCGUGAGUGAAGAAGUAUUUCGGUAUGUAAAGCUCUGUCAGCAGGGAAGAAGAAAGACGGUACCUGACUAAGAAGCCCCGGCUAACUACGUGCCAGCAGCCGCGGUAAUACGUAGGGGGCAAGCGUUAUCCGGAAUCACUGGGUGUAAAGGGAGCGUAGACGGCUGUGCAAGCCUGAAGUGAAAGGCGGGGGCCCAACCCCUGGACUGCUUUGGGAACUGUACGGCUGGAGUGCAGGAGAGGUAAGUGGAAUUCCUAGUGUAGCGGUGAAAUGCGUAGAUAUUAGGAGGAACACCAGUGGCGAAGGCGGCUUACUGGACUGUAACUGACGUUGAGGCUCGAAAGCGUGGGGAGCAAACAGGAUUAGAUACCCUAGUA
rnacentral:rRNA from 1 species